rnacentral:rRNA from 1 species
GACGUAGGAUGCAAGCGUUGUCCGGAUUUAUUGGGCGUAAAGAGUUCGUAGGUGGUUUGUUAAGUCUGAUGUUAAAGACUGGGGCUCAACCUCGGAAAUGCAUUGGAUACUGGCAGACUCGAGUGUGGUAGAGGCAAUCGGAAUUCCAGGUGUAGCGGUGAAAUGCGUAGAUAUCUGGAAGAACACCGGUGGCGCAAGCGGAUUGCUGGGCCAUAACUGACGCUGAGGAACGAAAGCUAGGGGAGCAAAUGGG